rnacentral:rRNA from 1 species
UCAACAACGGAUCUCUUGGUUCUGGCAUCGAUGAAGAACGCAGCGAAAUGCGAUAAGUAGUGUGAAUUGCAGAAUUCAGUGAAUCAUCGAAUCUUUGAACGCACAUUGCGCCCCUUGGUAUUCCAUGGGGCAUGCCUGUUCGAGCGUCAUUUGUACCUUCAAGCUCUGCU